rnacentral:rRNA from 1 species
GGGACUCGGGUAGUGGCGCACGGGUGCGUACGCGUGGGAACCUGCCUUAAGGUUCGGAAUAACUCAGAGAAAUUUGAGCUAAUACUGGAUAAUGUCUUCGGACCAAAGAUUUAUCGCCUUUAGAUGGGCCCGCGUUAGAUUAGAUAGUUGGUGGGGUAAUGGCCUACCAAGUCGACGAUCUAUAGCUGGUCUGAGAGGAUGAUCAGCCACACUGGGACUGAGACACGGCCCAGACUCCUACGGGAGGCAGCAGUGGGGAAUAUUGGACAAUGGGCGAAAGCCUGAUCCAGCAAUGCCGCGUGAGUGAUGAAGGCCUUAGGGUUGUAAAGCUCUUUUACUAGGGAUGAUAAUGACAGUACCUAGAGAAUAAGCUCCGGCUAACUCCGUGCCAGCAGCCGCGGUAAUACGGAGGGAGCUAGCGUUGUUCGGAAUUACUGGGCGUAAAGCGCACGUAGGCGGCUUAUCAAGUCAGGGGUGAAAUCCCGGGGCUCAACCCCGGAACUGCCCUUGAAACUGCUAAGCUAGAAUCUUGGAGAGGCGAGUGGAAUUCCGAGUGUAGAGGUGAAAUUCGUAGAUAUUCGGAAGAACACCAGUGGCGAAGGCGACUCGCUGGACAAGUAUUGACGCUGAGGUGCGAAAGCGUGGGGAGC